rnacentral:lncRNA from 10 species
UGAACCACCCCAGGCCCUUUGCACCUGCUAUUCCCUCUCCUCAGCAUGCUCUGCCCCAGACAAUUGCAAUGCUAACUUCUUACUUCCUUCAGGUUUCACUCAGAAAUGACUUUCUCAGUGGGGUCUCCCAUGACCAUUUUAUUUAAGAUUUCAACUACUUUGCCAGUAUUUCACUUCUCCUCCCUUGAUCUUUUCUUCCAAGCACUCACUGCCCUCUUGCACACUGUAUCUUUUACUUAUUUAUCUUGUUCAGUUUCUGCCUGCCUCACCUGCCUCACCACAGUGUACAUUUCACGAGGGCAGGGAUUUUGUCUGUUUUGUUGAUUGCUGUAGCCCUGGCAUCUUGGGCAGUGCCAGCACCUGUUAGCAUUAAAUACAUAUUUACUGAAUGAAUGAGUGGCUUCAUGCUUAAAAGCAAGAAGAGAGACCUUCAUAGAGAAGUAGGAAAAUGAAUUGUUGCACAAAUAAAGGGCCAUGUAAUGAGAGAGAGAGAGCAAGAGAAAGAGCAAACAAUUAAGGAGCAGCAGUGGCUUCCUGCAGGGGAGACCAAUGCCUUCUGUCCUCAGCGGAAACAGCUUGGCAUUCUUCCAAUUGAUGAAUGGCAUGGACCAGGAGCACUAGUUAUCUUCAGCUUCUGAGCAUCCGAAUAAAUAAACAUACAAAUGCAUAACAUAAAAUAAAUUCAAAUUACAAAUGAGAAAACCAAUCUAGGUUACCGGCAAGUCCUAUGACUUGAUGUGGAGGCCUGGAAGUGCAUCCUUGAAUCUUGCAAUGCAGUGAGCCAAGGAGCAAUGAGAGGCCACAUGAAUAACCGGGCCAGUGACAAGACACAUGUCCUCCUCCUUGCUGGUAUACACCAGAAUGCCCCGCAUGCAGCGAAUGCUCAAAAAGUGUUGGUGGAAGUGACAGAAUUCCAUCACCAUUAAACACAACCAGUGUUGCGGUUGACAAUGGCACUGAAGCAGGUGAAAAAUCCGUACAGCAGCUUCUGUCUUUGAAGAGUUUGCAGCCUCUUGAAGAGGGUUUAGAGGUUAAAAAAAGCUUUGUGCUGAUGAACAUGGUCACCUUGAAAGGUGUGUUGAAUAUGGCAGAGCCAGAAAAUGCAAGGAGCUUCUUCUCUGGAUCACCACUUGAAGAAGAGCCACUUGCUCCUCAGGAACCCUAUUUUGGACUGACGUUGCAAGAAAGCUCAAGUAGCCUAUGGAGAGGAUGCAAGGCUUCCAGCUGAUGCCCUCAGCCAGGCUCAGUAGCAGCCAGAACUAGCCUACCAACGAACCUGCUGAUCAUGUGCAUAAGCCACCUUGAACGUCGAUCCUCCUGCCUGGUGGAGCCAUCCCAGCUGAUGCCACAUGAAGCAGACACAAGCUGUCCCUACUAAGCUCUGCUCAAGUUGGAUAUUCAUGAGUGAAAUAAAUGACUGUUACUAAGUAAUUAAUUUUUGGGUGGCUGUUAUGUAGCAGUAGAUAAUUGGAACAAAGCUUAUUGACAUAAUACAUCUAUAUCACAUCCUCCAAUCCAUUUUUUUAAGUAAUAAAGUUGAUGUUUGUUUUGAUUUUCAGUU